CGUACCCCAAACCGACACAGGUGGUCGGGUAGAGAAUACCAAGGCGCUUGAGAGAACUCGGGUGAAGGAACUAGGCAAAAUGGUACCGUAACUUCGGGAGAAGGUACGCUCUUGAUGGUGAAGUCCCUCGCGGAUGGAGCUGACGAGAGUCGCAGAUACCAGGUGGCUGCAACUGUUUAUUAAAAACACAGCACUGUGCAAAAUCGCAAGAUGACGUAUACGGUGUGACGCCUG
rnacentral:rRNA from 1 species